UACAGAGGGUGCAAACGUUGCUCGGAAUCAUUGGGCGUAAAGCGCACGUAGGCGGCCCAGCAAGUGGGGAGUGAAAGCCCUCGGCUUAACCGAGGAAGUGCUUUCCAAACUACUGGGCUUGAAUACUGGAGAGGGUCGCGGAAUUCCCGGUGUAGAGGUGAAAUUCGUAGAUAUUCGGAGGAACACCAGUGGCGAAGGCGGCUCACUGGUCCAUUACUGACGCUGAGGUGCGAAAGCGUGGAGAGCAAACAGG
rnacentral:rRNA from 1 species